rnacentral:rRNA from 1 species
GAUGAACGCUGGCGGCGUGCCUAAUACAUGCAAGUCGAGCGAACGGACGAGAAGCUUGCUUCUCUGAUGUUAGCGGCGGACGCGUGAGUAACACGUGGAUAACCUACCUAUAAGACUGGGAUAACUUCGGGAAACCGGAGCUAAUACCGGAUGAUAUUUUGAACCGCAUGGUUCAAAAGUGAAAGACGGUCUUGCUGUCACUUAUAGAUGGAUCCGCGCUGCAUUAGCUAGUGGGUAAGGUAACGGCUUACCAAGGCAACGAUGCAUAGCCGACCUGAGAGGGUGAUCGGCCACACUGGAACUGAGACACGGUCCAGACUCCUACGGGAGGCAGCAGUAGGGAAUCUUCCGCGAUGGGCGAAAGCCUGACGGAGCAACGCCGCGUGAGUGAUGAAGGUCUUCGGAUCGUAAAACUCUGUUAUUAGGGAAGAACAUAUGUGUAAGUAACUGUGCACAUCUUGACGGUACCUAAUCAGAAAGCCACGGCUAACUACGUG